UACGGGGGGGCGGGAAGCAGUUGUUUCGGUGAAUUACUGGGCGUAAAAGGGGUUUGUAGGUGGCUUGUUAAGUCAGACGUGAAAUCCCUCAGCUUAACUGGGGAACUGCGUCUGAUACUGGCGAGCUUGAGUGCAGGAGAGGAACGCGGAAUUCCAGGUGUAGCGGUGAAAUGCGUAGAUAUCUGGAGGAACACCGGUGGCGAAGGCGGCGUUCUGGACUGCAACUGACACUGAGAAACGAAAGCCAGGGUAGCAAACGGG
rnacentral:rRNA from 1 species